CUUUAAAAAGAAAAAAGUAACAACAAGAGGAGGAGAAGAGAGAAAAAUAGAAACGAAGCAUAACAUCGUUAACAAAUGUCGUCCUUUUUUUGAAUCAUCGUUUCAAGGAUCCUGAUUAAUCUUUAACCAGGAGCUAGAGUCCUGGACACGACAAAUUUUCAUUAACGGAUUACGACCGAGCAGAUCCACGAGUCAUAAAAUCGUUCUACACCGCUAGACACAUGACCGAUUUAAAGUUCGACCGGUCGAUCAAACGACGAACGUUUAUGAACUGCCAUAGAUUAUGUUUUAUCUACUUGCCCGUUUUUGAUUUGGAAAUAAUGAAGAAGCGAGUCUAUGCGCACGCACACGUCGCUCGAUGUCGAUAGCUUUUCAGCAGAGCUCGUCGAGUUCGAUUCAAGAGGGUGGAGGUGGAGGAGGAGGAGGAGCUGGAGGAACUGGAGAAGGAGACGGGGAGGAGGAGGAGGUGUUGGAGGAGGUGGAGGUGAAGGAGGAGGAAGAAGAAGAAGAAGAGGAGGAGGAUGCGGCGGUAGCGUAGAUCGAAACGAAGCGCGCUUUACAAAGUUCGACUUUACUACCAGAAGGAAAACACAUCGCGUCGUUGACAACGAAACUAUCAAGAGAUAUUGCACCACGACUUUCUUAGCUGAAAGUUAACAAAAUAAUUUACGCUAAGAUUCGGAAUAUUGCGAACUUAUUGAAAUCGUCGAAAGAUGAAUGGAGUUCGACGGACGGCCAUCGAUGCUUUCGAUGAUAAGCUCUCAUAUUUACAAGACGACGAGUUAAGAAAAAUAAAGAGAAA
rnacentral:lncRNA from 1 species